rnacentral:tRNA from 1 species
AAAACAUUAGUAAAUUUAUUACAUCCCCUUGUCAAGGAGAAAUUAUGAACUAAACCCUUAUAUGUUUUA